GGGACCAUAGCUCAAUGAGAGAGUUUCUGCCUUGCAUGCAGAAAGUCCCAGGUUCCAUCCCUGGUAUCUCCA